ensembl:snoRNA SNORA70 Small nucleolar RNA SNORA70
CAGCAGCCAACUAUGCCAACCAAGUCCUUUUCCCCAUGGGUUCCUGGUGUGCAAUGGUUACAAAGAGCAGUCUCCUUGGUAGCAAAUGUAGCCUGUCGCCUAUGUGAGUUGCCCUAAGGGACCUCGAAGAUGAUU